CAAGUACUCCCUCCGUCCGGAAUUACUUGUCAUCAAAAUGGAUGUGUCUAGAAUUAAAAUACAUCUAGAUACAUCCAUUUCAAUGACAAGUAUUUUCGGACGGAGGGAGUACAAG
rnacentral:pre_miRNA from 1 species